rfam:Schistosoma mansoni, Puerto Rico, WGS project CABG01000000 data, contig: 0138
AGCCUUCCGAAUCUGUGCAGAGAUUUCGUCAGACACCAACCCAUUAGGGUUGGUCAGACUUCUAAGAUAAGUGAAGCU